rnacentral:rRNA from 1 species
CACGUAGGGGGCAAGCGUUGUCCGGAAUCAUUGGGCGUAAAGAGCUCGUAGGCGGCUCAGUAAGUCGGGUGUGAAACCCUCAGGCUCAACCUGGGGACGCCACCCGAUACUGCUGUGGCUAGAGUCCAGUAGGGGAGUGUGGAAUUCCCGGUGUAGCGGUGAAAUGCGCAGAUAUCGGGAGGAACACCAGCGGCGAAGGCAGCUCGCUGGGACGGUACUGACGCUGAGGCGCGAAAGCGUGGGGAGCGAACAGG